CUGCGCCACAAGUGGCAAUCAUUUUUAUUUGGCCUAAAGCGUCCGUAGCCUAUUUAGUAAAUCUUCUGUGAAAUUGUUGUGCUUAACACAUCAACGUGCAUGAGACACUGCCAGACUUGGAACCGGGAGGAGUCAGAAGUAUUCCGGGGGGAGCGGUAAAAUGUUAUAAUCCCUGGAGGACUACCUGUGGCGAAGGCGUCUGACUAGAACGGAUUCGACGGUGAGGGACGAAAGCUAGGGGAGCAAACCGGAUUAGAGACCCGAGUAGUCC
rnacentral:rRNA from 1 species